AUUUUGAUUGGAAGCUUCCUAGCGGAAUGAGGCAUGAAAAUCUAGACAUGACUGAGACCUUUGGUGUGACUGCCAGAAGGAAAGAUGAUUUAAUCCUAAUUCCCACCACUCAUAGCCAUUCAUCUGCUGAAUGAUAAUUUUCUCUGGACUGCAUAUUAGUUAUAGAAGUAGAGAUGUUUUCAUGAUCUCAAUAAAGCUCGGAGAACAUGUGAGGUAGAUUCCAGGCAGAACAUGUUUUAGGUUGCAAUAUAUUCUGUUGUGACUUAUCUGUCAAUGUUGUAUAUAUUUCUCUUGAUGGAAUAUCAUCACUCUUGGCAAGGACUUGCUGGACCAUUAUUGCCCCAUUGGCUGUUUAUUUUGUCCUACUAAAAUUGUUUAUAUCAGAAUUCAGAUUUUGCAAGUUUCUAUAGUGAGAUUGUCUAUGUUAUUAUCAUUAAAAGUAAUUUUGUGGCAAAAACAAUUACCUAUUUGUUCAAAGGUAUCAAAUAUGUUUCCAUUGCAUCUGCCCAGUAAAUCAGAUUAAUGAUUUGUACCAGGCAAUUUCAAAUCUAGGUUUGCUCGGUUUGAUAUAUAUCCAAUGUAUCAUCAACCUGAACUGAUGUUGGGUUCACAAUCUAUCAGGAUAUCUUCAGUGGGGGAAGUGAGACAUCGUCAACAAUUGUGGACUGGGCAAUGUCAGAAAUGCUGAAAAAUCCAAGGGUGCUAAGGAAGGCACAAGAUGAGGUAAGACAGGUCUUUCAUGGAAAAGGGGAUGUGAAUGAAGCAAGCAUACAUGCAUUACAAUACUUAGCAUCAGUAAUCAAGGAAACCCUGAGGUUACACCCUUCUUUCCCUCUGUUACUUCCAAGAGAAAGCCGAGAGAAUUGUGAAAUUAUGGGAUACCAGGUACCUGUCAAGACCAGUGUCAUAAUCAACGCAUGGGCGAUAGGGAGAGAUCCAAAGUAUUGGAAUGAACCUGAAACAUUUUACCCUGAAAGGUUCCUGAAUGCUUCCACUGAUUUUAAAGGAACAGAUUUUUAGUAUAUCCCGUUUGGCGCAGGAAGAAGGACGUGUCCAGGCAUCUUGUUUGCACUCCCUAACAUAGAGCUGCCUCUGGCAAAAUUGCUCUACCAUUUUAACUGGAAGCUUCCUAGUGGAAUAAGGCAUGAAAAUCUAGACAUGACUGAGACAUUUGGUGUGACUUCGAGAAGGAAAGAUGAUGUAAUCUUAAUUCCUACCACUCAUAGCCAUUCAUCUGCUGCAUGAGAAUUUUGUUUGGACUGCAUAUUAGUUAUUGUUUUAGAGAUGUUUUUAUUGUCUCAAUAAAGCUUUGAGAACAUGUGAAUCAGAUUCCAGGCAGACAUGUUUUAGGUGGCAAAAUUAUCUGUUGUGGCUUAUCUGAAAAUGUUGGCAACCCUCUUGGGAUUGUGAAGGUUUUAACGUUUGAUAAUAUCAGUUAUAUGUUAUUUGUUGAAA
rnacentral:lncRNA from 1 species